ACAGUCACACAUUAGAUACCCCGGUAGUCCAGGGUGUAAACGCUGCAGACUUGGUGUUGGGAACCCUUCGGGGGUGUCCAGUGCCGGAGAGAAGUUGUUAAGUCUGCUACUUGGGGAGUACGUCCGCAAGGAUGAAACUUAAAGGAAUUGGCGGGGGAGCACCGCAACGGGAGGAGCGUGCGGUUUAAUUGGAUUCAACACCGGAAAACUCACCAGUGAAGACUGUUACAUGAAAGCCAGGCUGAUGACCUUGCUAGAUUUUCAG
rnacentral:rRNA from 1 species